rnacentral:rRNA from 1 species
UACGGGGGGGGGCAAGCGUUGUCCGGAAUUAUUGGGCGUAAAGAGCUCGUAGGCGGUGUGUCACGUCGGCCGUGAAAACCUGCAGCUUAACUGUGGGCGUGCGGUCGAUACGGGCAUCACUGGAGUUCGGCAGGGGAGACUGGAAUUCCUGGUGUAGCGGUGAAAUGCGCAGAUAUCAGGAGGAACACCGGUGGGCGAAGGCGGGUCUCUGGGCCGAUACUGAC